GUAGGCACAGUUGAAAUUUUGCUGAUGUAUCAGGAGUGACAUGGCAGUGUUGGUAGGUAAUGUGCAAGUUGAUAUGGGAGGGGUAGUGCAAGUGCAGGUCUUGUGUGACUCACAGUAAGGAGUUGGGGUUUUGCCUUUGAAUCUAGGCACAAAUGGGACCCGACUUGAAAUGUUUAGGCUACUGGAGUGUUGGAUGGGAGCUCUGGUCGCUUGAAUGAGGUCGUUGGAUGUCAGCAAUGUGCAAAAAAAGCUUAGUUGUUAGGAGCUGCUAUGGAUCUAGCGAGUAACGAGUCAGGUUACCUUUGAGCCGUUUGGAUCUUAGAGUUCUAGCCAUUGUUUG
rnacentral:misc_RNA from 1 species